CAGCAAAAGGACUCCGCGGCGGAUCCGCCGCGGAGGUAUUGCGGCUUCCGGAACGGACCCGCGAAACGGACCCGUAUCGGAGUUCACUUGCACUCAGGGACGGAUCCGCUACGAAGGCGGAUCGCGGAUCCGCAGUGGCUCCGCGCCGCAUCCGCUCCGGAUCCGCGAUUAAAACCUUACCUCCGUGGCGGGUCCGUUUGGGACCCGCUGGGGGUCCGUUGGGGGUCCGUUUGGGACCCGCAAAUGUAUACAGACAUCCGCCGCGGAACCGCAACGGACUCAUAAAGAUCCUGGCUCAUCUGGCCCGGGUCCGUUUUGGACCCGUUUAUCUUAUUUUCAAAAUCCCUUCUGUUCUUGCUGUAGGAUAAAAUAGGAUAAACUAAACUAUAGGAUAAAACUCAAAGAUAUCAUUCCUAGCCUAGGCUACAGCAAUAUAGGCCUAGGCAUAAGUUUAAAUAUGCAUUGCCUUGUAUGUUUUACCUAACAAUAUUGUCAAUAGGCAUAACAAUAACAGAAAAGGUUCAAGUCAAGACAUCAAUUUACUGCACAAAAGUAAUCACUACUCAAUAGAAAAAUAGAAAAUUGACAUUUACAUUUAUGGAAAAUUAUAGGUUAUAGCCUAUUCUGUUUUUGUUAAGUAGUCUACGUUGGCUAGGCUACUUUACAUUCAUUUUGUGGACCUAAUUUAGUGCUUUAUAGGCAUAGGUCGGUGCAGACAUAAAAUAUUUUAUCUAUAAGGCUACAACAUGAAAUGCUGCGCUGCAGCUAAAAUAUCAGAAAAUGAAUAACUGGUGAACGACAAGAAGUUCAAUCAAAUGAUUGUUUAAUUGUUAUUCGGGUGGAGGAGUGGAUGGAGGAGGGACACGUCUCCUCGCCGCCCGAUCCGCCGCCAGGUUGAACCACCUGAUGGCGUGUUUGGUGACCUCCGCGUCCGUGGCUGACCGUGUCACCACGUUUUUCCUCACAGCACCUGUAAUCAAACAGACAGAUUUUAUGUAAUAGGUUUUUUACUAACUUUAAGAAGAAUGCACACAUUUGGUGAACAACAGGGUGCAUUAAUGGCCACUGUUAGGCAUGCAAACAUGCAAAGUGCUUCGAUAAACCGAGUAUUUUGUUUUGGGCCUACUGUAGCAGCAAGGAGAAGACUACUGGAGCAAGCACCUUGAAACAUUUCGAAAACGAAGCAAUAAACGGCAAAUAGAACCAGCUGAACAACCGCAGCCGGUAUUAUUUGAUAAUUUAAAACUGUAUAAGACGAGCCCUAAUGUAGAGGAUGAUCCUUAGCCCCCGCCCCCAUGCGUCUUUUGGUAAUUUGCCUAAAAUCCAAAGUAUUUCUAAACAGCACUCCUGCCGUUUUCCUUCUCUACCUAAACUGGUCGCGGAGGCACUGCACUUGACAUGCUAGCUCUGUUGGCUAACCUUUAGCUAACACACAGCAUUGAGACUAGUAAUUACUGCCAGAGACCGGUGUGAGGGGAGGCGGGGCUAUGUUGGCGCUGAUGUGUGUCUGUUAACUCUGUCCGAGAGAAGAGAGCGAGAAAGCGCAGCUGGUAUUUGUGUAUCGAUACGGCAGAUAAUUAUUAUUGAAAUCUAUCGCAACCACCAGGCAGCCAAUACGUUUGCGUGCGUUUACUUCGAUAACAUGAUGGGCCUGUAGCCCACACCUGGGGUGCGUUUCUCUUGACAUGAUAAUCCACCACUCAUAGGCGCUGGAACCUUUGAGGCCGCGGGGCCAAUGGCCCCGUCUGCGACGUUCGAAACCCCCACGACGGAAGUUUGUCAUGCCAGAAAUUUGGGGGAAUCGCAUGACGUAUCCAUUGUUGACUUAGAGGGAAUCCCGUGAACAGCUGGAGCUCACGGGCAGGAAGUGUUGCUAACUAGUAAAGAAACUAGUAGCCUAAAGUAAAGACUAGUAGAGAUGCGCGGUUGGCAUUCAUACCCACGGACACCGUGGAUAAUCCACGGGUUGGGUGGAUUGCGUGAAAGAAAGUAAAGCGGGAAAUGAAAUCGCGCGCAAGGCAGCAUGGGUAUACCCAGGCUAGUAUUGGCAUAUCCACUUUCUAGAAUCGCACCCAUGGUCAACGCCGAAGGAAACUGAAGGAAUCAAAAAGAGGACAUCUCACAGCAGAGUGCAUGUCAGAAAGGUAGGAUUUUUGUUAUUAUCAUUCAUUAUUGCACUCUCUGAUAGUAAACAGGAACAUUUUCACUAGCAUAUUGUCCCUACUAAAUAAGUGACCGUGUCAGGUUUUCACUGACGCGCUAGCUAUUGCAUUGUGUUAAACAUAACAUCAGGCAUAGGCCUACCUGACUGAAAAUGUGCUUAGGCAAAGUAGCCAUCAGUUGCACAGGGUGUCAUGGUCAUACUAUGUUUGAUUUCGAGUAAAAAAAAAGAGACAUCAAACGUAAAAAAAAAAAGGUCUAUGGUAUAGUGGCCUAGUCAAAAAAAGGCUACACGGUCAUAUUGGUAUGACGGUUGCUAAGGUUUUUGGUAGUGGCUAUUCGUACGGCGACCGUAAGAAUAGCAAUUAGGCUAUUCGUACGGCGCGCCGUAGAAAUACUGCAUUAGUCUAUUUUCACUGCAGGUUAGGGUUAGGGUUAUUACUAAAAUUACGGUCGGCCGGGUUAGGGUUAGCGCCGAGAAGGCUGAUAGGUCAAGUGCGGUCACGUGACAAGCUCGGUCGCCGUACGAAUAGCCACUGCCAAGAUUUUUAAGGCUGCCCCAACAAACUAUUGACUUUGAACGUAUUUAAUAUUACUAUGAAUUAUAUACUUACUGAAAAGCAAGGUCUUUGUUGCCAUCCUGCUAAAAGGCUUUUUGUUGUGGACACCCUUCCAACUGAUCUGAUGGGAGACCUCAUCAGUGAACAGCCUGCCCAGGAUGUUCCAGGUCACCCGCUUCACAUCCUGGCCUCCAAUGUUGGCCAAAGAAGAAAUCUAAAAGGCAAAGACAUCUUUUUUUUUAAAUAGACAGGGGAAACUGGAUGCUGUCCGGCAUCUCCACAUCUGGCCCCGGGGUGCUGUUCAUCCUACUGGUUGAGGAGCAGCGAAUCUACUGCCUGGCACUCGGCGAGAUAGUGGAGCUGGAGGAAUGGAUACACGUGGAGGAGAGGUAUGGCCACAAAACCAUCCCUGUACGGCAAGGCUACACAUUUCUGUCGCAGCGCUGACACCUCAACCGACUUCAGCUCAUCAGAUGCAUCAUUUACAGCAAAUAUGUUCAUUCUGUCAGAGUUGAAGGGGUGGUUCUCGUAUGGGAACGCUGAAAAAGAGUCCAGACAGCCAUGCCUCUUCACCUCGUCUGCCAGGUGGACCAGACAGUGGACAUUGUACGCAAUCUGGUCUGUCCCAUAAAGCUCACCAAAAUGGUUUACAAAAGAUUUUAGCAUUUGUCCAGCAUAGUCAGCAAGGUUGAGAUGUUCAGGGCUCACCAAAAUGGAUAUAGCAGUUGACAGGAGCAUGAAAUUGCAGUACAUGUUCCGGUCCAGGAAUCCUGCCAGCACCACAGGGCCAGUGUACAGUAAGAACUGUCGGAAUUCAGUUGCCUUCCAACGGUCCAACUCCCUAAGCGACCGUGGUCUCCUGGCAAACUCAAUUGGCACGUAGGGCCUCAUGGACUGGAGUUUGCCUGACAUCCUGUCCACUAUUAAUGCCGGCAGUCUUACUGGUAACGGACCCCGGAGCCAGGUCUGGAGCAGUUUCCUUACAAUGCCCAAACACACUAGAUGCAUAUAAUCUAAGGGAAACUGUGUUACCAUGCCAAUCUUGACAUUCUGAAAUGGAUGUGGCCCCUCAUGAUGGUGUAAUUCAUCAACCUUCAGGUUGAAUGAGAUGUCAGUUCUAAGGGGGUACUCUGGUCCAGGGAAAGACAUACGCCGGUUCUGGUAUUUCCCUGGGUGUAGGCACUUAUCGCACCCAUGGUAAGCAUUAUGGGCCUUUGUUUUUUUCACAAAGGCCCGUGCAGGGGUAUCACAGACUACCGUGUGAAGCUGAAUCUUAAGGUUCUUAUCUCCAAAACAAAACCCAGCCUCUAGCUCCUGCAGUUCUCUGACAAAAUCAAAUAGGAACUCUGUGGCCGAACUAGGUUUUUUUGGUCCACAGUAAGCCCCAAUGACCACAGGUUCCUUCAUGGGGACGCUAACCAGUAAGCCAAGGAUGGGCCACAGCUGUACAGUGGAACUUUUAAAUAAAGGUAGACCAUCGAUAUUAAUCUGCAGCCCCAAUGUCAUGCCCUCUGCCAGUGUUUUGGCAUAUUUGCUUAGGGUGGACUUCAAGGAGGAAAGGAUGCCAAAGUGAUGGUAGUUCCCCCCAGCCUUCUCCUGAAUAGCAUAAUGCAUUUUUGUCUUGAGAAGGGUCCUACCAUCCUUCGGCAGAUUGGGAUGGGUUAUAUGGAGUAUACUCAACAGUGCAGUCAGGGCAACCAUGGAAAUGCCAAAACUCACUGCCCAGUUGGCAAUGUUAUCAGAAAGUGAUGUUGGGUCAUCAUUUUCAGAAUCUGAACCUGAUGUCCCAUCCCCAUCACAUCCAUCCCAAUGCACAUCAUCAAAAUCUGUCUCAAAUUCCAUGUCCUCUUCAGUAAGAACUUGCACCUCUGGCAUUGCAUGUGCACCUGAAGAGGGUUGGGCAGUGUUCUCAGAAAGAACUCUGUCAUCUGCCCCUAUUCCUGUCAUGUCAGUCAUGUCUGUCCUAAUUUGAUUAAGCCUUUUUUGAACGUCUCCACGUGUCCUUCGUCUUAAGGCUGAUAAGGAGACAGGCACAGUCUUUCUAUUCAUUUUUGUUCUAAAAGACAUUUCAGAAAAAGAAAAGAA